rnacentral:rRNA from 1 species
CGCGGACUGGUUUCCUUGAGUACGCACAAAGUGNGCGGAAUUCGUGGUGUAGCGGUGAAAUGCUUACAUAUCACGAAGAACUCCNAUUGCNAAGGCNGCUCACUGGAGCGCAACUGACGCUGAAGCUCGAAAGUGCGGGUAUCGAACAGGAUUAGAUACCCUGGUAGUCCGCACGGUAAACGAUGGAUGCCCGCUGUUGGUCUGAACAGGUCAGCGGCCAAGCGAAAGCAUUAAGCAUCCCGCCUGGGGAGU